UACGUAGGGCGCAGGCGUUAUCCGGAAUUAUUGGGCGUAAAGAGCUCGUAGGCGGUGUGUCGCGUCGGCCGUGAAAACUUUCAGCUUAACUGGGAGCUUGCGGUCGAUACGGGCAUCACUUGAGUUCGGCAGGGGAGACUGGAAUUCCUGGUGUAGCGGUGAAAUGCGCAGAUAUCAGGAGGAACACCGGUGGCGAAGGCGGGUCUCUGGGCCGAUACUGACGCUGAGGAGCGAAAGCGUGGGGGAGCGAACAGG
rnacentral:rRNA from 1 species